ACGAUGAACCACUUCGGUGGGGAUUAGUGGCGAACGGGUGAGUAACACGUGGGCAAUCUGCCCUGCACUCUGGGACAAGCCCUGGAAACGGGGUCUAAUACCGGAUACUGAUCCGUCUGGGCAUCCAGACGGUUCGAAAGCUCCGGCGGUGCAGGAUGAGCCCGCGGCCUAUCAGCUUGUUGGUGAGGUAGUGGCUCACCAAGGCGACGACGGGUAGCCGGCCUGAGAGGGCGACCGGCCACACUGGGACUGAGACACGGCCCAGACUCCUACGGGAGGCAGCAGUGGGGAAUAUUGCACAAUGGGCGAAAGCCUGAUGCAGCGACGCCGCGUGAGGGAUGACGGCCUUCGGGUUGUAAACCUCUUUCAGCAGGGAAGAAGCGAAAGUGACGGUACCUG
rnacentral:rRNA from 1 species